rnacentral:rRNA from 1 species
GUGGGGAAUAUUGGACAAUGGGCGAAAGCCUGAUCCAGCCAUGCCGCGUGUGUGAAGAAAGUCUUCGGAUUGUAAAGCACUUUAAGUUGGGAGGAAGGGCAGUAAGUUAAUACCUUGCUGUUUUGACGUUACCGACAGAAUAAGCACCGGCUAACUUCGUGCCAGCAGCCGCGGUAAUACGAAGGGUGCAAGCGUUAAUCGGAAUUACUGGGCGUAAAGCGCGCGUAGGUGGUUUUGUAAGUUGGAGGUGAAAUCCCCGGGCUCAACCUGGGAACUGCCUCCAAAACUGCAUGACUAGAGUACGGUAGAGGGUAGUGGAAUUUCCUGUGUAGCGGUGAAAUGCGUAGAUAUAGGAAGGAACACCAGUGGCGAAGGCGACUACCUGGACUGAUACUGACACUGAGGUGCGAAAGCGUGGGGAGCAAACAGGAUUAGAUACCCCUGUAGUCC